rnacentral:misc_RNA from 1 species
UCUCCGUUGGUGAACCAGCGGAGGGAUCAUUGCUGGAACAAACGCCCUCACGGGUGCUACCCAGAAACCCUUUGUGAACUUAUACCUAUUGUUGCCUCGGCGUAGGCCGGCCUCUUCACUGAGGCCCCCUGGAAACAGGGAGCAGCCCGCCGGCGGCCAACCAAACUCUUGUUUCUACAGUGAAUCUCUGAGUAAAAAACAUAAAUGAAUCAAAACUUUCAACAACGGAUCUCUUGGUUCUGGCAUCGAUGAAGAACGCAGC